rnacentral:rRNA from 1 species
GACGAACGCUGGCGGCGUGCUUAACACAUGCAAGUCGAACGGUAAGGCCCUUCGGGGUACACGAGUGGCGAACGGGUGAGUAACACGUGGGUGAUCUGCCCUGCACUUCGGGAUAAGCCUGGGAAACUGGGUCUAAUACCGGAUAGGACCACUGCCUGCAUGGGUGGUGGUGGAAAGCUUUUGCGGUGUGGGAUGGGCCCGCGGCCUAUCAGCUUGUUGGGGGGGUGAUGGCCUACCAAGGCGACGACGGGUAGCCGGCCUGAGAGGGUGACCGGCCACACUGGGACUGAGAUACGGCCCAGACUCCUACGGGAGGCAGCAGUGGGGAAUAUUGCACAAUGGGCGCAAGCCUGAUGCAGCGACGCCGCGUGAGGGACGACGGCCUUCGGGUUGUAAACCUCUUUCAGUAGGGACGAAGCGCAAGUGACGGUACCUACAGAAGAAGGACCGGCCAACUACGUGCCAGCAGCCGCCGUAA